AUGACUGCAUCCAAAGUAGCCCAUGAAGAUACAUUCACAAUCAAGAAGUUCCACAUGGAUCAUAGUUGUGGAGCUUGUGGAGAGAGUACAAAGGUUACUGCUGAAUGGGUUGCAGAAGCUGUGGAGGACACAGUUAGAUCAAAUGUAAAGGCUGAUAUAGAGACAGUUCUCAAACAUACUAAGAAGAAGUUUGGGGUGCAUGUACCUAGGAGUUUGGCAUAUAGGGCAAGACUGAUGGCUGUUGAUGUUGUGCAAGGUGAUCAUAGAAAGCAGUAUCUGAGGUUGAGGGACUACGUACCUACAAUGUGUGCUUGA
rnacentral:rRNA from 1 species